UACGGAGGGUGCAAGCGUUAUCCGGAUUCCCUGGGUUUAAAGGGUGCGUAGGAGGGCAGGUAAGUCAGUGGUGAAAUCCCCGAGCUUAACUUGGGAACUGCCGUUGAUACUAUCUGUCUUGAAUACCGUGGAGGUGAGCGGAAUAUGUCAUGUAGCGGUGAAAUGCUUAGAUAUGACAUAGAACACCAAUUGCGAAGGCAGCUCGCUACACGAAUAUUGACUCUGAGGCACGAAAGCGUGGGGAUCAAACAGG
rnacentral:rRNA from 1 species